rnacentral:rRNA from 1 species
GAUGAACGCUGGCGGCGUGCUUAACACAUGCAAGUCGAACGGAAAGGCUCCUGCUUGCAGGGGUACUCGAGUGGCGAACGGGUGAGUAACACGUGGGUGAUCUGCCCUGCACUUCGGGAUAAGCCUGGGAAACUGGGUCUAAUACCGGAUAGGACGAUGGUUUGGAUGCCCUUGUGGAAAGUUUUUCGGUGUGGGUUGAGCUCGCGGCCUAUCAGCUUGUUGGUGGGGUAAUGGCCUACCAAGGCGUUGACGGGGAGCCGGCCUGAGAGGGUGUACGGGCACCUUGGGACUAAGGUACGGCCCAGACUCCUACGGGAGGCAGCAGUGGGGAAUAUUGCACAAUGGGCGCAAGCCUGAUGCAGCGACGCCGCGUGGGGGAUGACGGCCUUCGGGUUGUAAACUCCUUUCGCUAGGGACGAAGCGCAAGUGACGGUACCUGGAGAAGAAGCACCGGCUAACUACGUG